rnacentral:tRNA from 1 species
GUCCUCGUAGUAUAAAGGAAGAACAUAGCCCUCCGAAGGCUAAGAUACAGGUUCAAUUCCUGUCGGGGGCA